GUUCUACUGACUGAAGUGAUCCUAUCUUGUGACUCAUGCAUGGCACGUCUAUAAGUCAAGCUGGAAUCCUCUAAAAUAAGUCACAUGGGAAAAAAUUCUGAUCUUAUUCUAGACGAAGAAUGAAAAGCCAGGAAGCUACAUAACCCAAGAUCAAUUGGCUGCAUCAGGAUAACCAGCCAACUUUCUCAGAAGAAACAAUAAGCCUCUGCAGGGGUGGAGAGAGAUUAGCACCUUGGAAGAUCCAUUCUGAUGUCUUAACACAAUAGCAAAUGGGAGAAGACAUCUACACAGAAGUGGGAUGAGAGCAUGGACAGAGUGACACUGAUCUCAAUGUGUACCUUAUAGACUGGGGUUCUGUUUUUAUGAAGAAUCUCUCAAGAUGGUCUUUCCAAAUUGCUGCUUCUGUGUAAUACCUUGUAUUCCAUAACACUUCCUGGAAUAAAGGAAUGGAUGAAUGGUGCCCCCUGGAGUUAUUCAAUCCAGUGACCCUGCUGCUGUCACACUAACAUGAGUACUUCAGUCCCCAUAUUACCAGCUAUUUCAGGUGGGCAUUUAUGUCUCAAUGCCAUGAUGUUAAAAUGACUUCCUGCCAAAGUCAUGCUCCCAAUCAUCUUGGGUCCCCUCGGAAUCCAAGAUUAUCUUCCAGUCUAGUUUCAAGUCCUUAUUUCCCACCCCAGGUUUUCUCAAGGCAAUUUCUAAAAAGUUCAAUUUAAUUUAGUUUUUAUAUUAAGUUUCAUUCCUGAUCACCAAAACCCUUGCUUUGGGAGAAACAU
rnacentral:lncRNA from 1 species